GUAAACCCAAGGUUUCCAGGGGAAGGUUCGUCCGCCCUGGGUUAGUCGGGACCUGUAAACCCACGGUUUCCAGGGGAAGGUUCGUCCGCCCUGGGUUCGCCGGGACCUCCGCCGAGGGGA
rnacentral:rRNA from 1 species